CAGCAUUUAUGUUACCAACUUUUCUUAUUUAAGCAGUUAAGAAAGUACAGUUGGGACAAUUGACAGUGAUGUCAUCAAAACUAAAUGAAAGUUAAUGGUCUAGGUCUUCGAUCGUGAUGUCAUAAUUUGAAUAAAAUAUUCAUGGUGACGUCAUGAUCAAAACCAAAUGAAAGUUAAUGGUCUACGUCAUCGCUCUACGUGGUGACGCCAAGAAAAUAGACCUAGCUGAAGCUCUAGACACUACUAGAAGCCGGUUUCGGAGACAGCCUACAUGUGGCUCUGCUACAGGAGAGAAGAGAGAACACCUGUACAAGGUGUUAGUCAUAGGAGAUCUCGGCGUGGGUAAGACCAGCGUCAUUAAGAGAUACGUCCACCAGUUCUUCUCACAGCACUACAGGGCCACGAUCGGGGUUGACUUUGCCCUGAAAGUCAUCAAUUGGGAUGCCGACACACUCAUACGCCUGCAGUUGUGGGACAUUGCUGGCCAGGAGAGGUUUGGCAACAUGACGCGAGUGUACUACAAGGAGGCAGUUGGGGCAUUUAUUGUCUUCGACGUGACAAGAGUGUCAACAUUUGAGGCUGUUGCGAAGUGGAAGCACGACUUGGACAGUAAAGUGCAACUGGCCAAUGGAAGUAACAUACCUGUGGUAUUACUAGCCAAUAAGUGUGACCAAGCGAAGGAAGGGUUGGUCAACAACAGUGCACAGAUGGAUGAGUACUGCAAAGACAAGGGUUUCAUCGGCUGGUACGAAACCUCUGCCAAAGAGAACAUCAACAUUGACGAGAGUGCCAGAUUCCUCGUCACCUCGAUCCUUGCCAAUGACAAAUCCAUCAGCCACGAUGACAAGGAUAUUGAUGCAGACAAGCUGACAUUAGACCCCACCCAAGAAGGGGCAAAUGGUAGCAAAGGGUCAUGCUGCUGACAGCCAGGCCACCUCCGUUCCUUCCUCCCCACCUUUAGCCCCUCCCACCAACAGUACAUACAUGGGGGCCUUUCAAUGAACCAUCUGACCUGCCGUAUGUCCACCCACCACUGUUGUUGGCAAAAACUGCAGCACCGUACACAGUGUUUAGGCUGUAUGGAAAUCUUUAAGCUUUUAGACGUACAUGUAUAUGACCAGAGUGGGGCAAAAUCACGCAGCCUGUGCCCAAAUCAGCGUGAUAAUGACAACCCUACACAGCACAUGUGCAGACCUGCCAAUCUAGUCGUACUCCUUCCUGAGGUCAGGCAUUACAACACAAUAGAUUAAAAGGUAUUUUAAAUAAGCCUUCAGUUCAUUUAAAUCUACUGUCCAGUAAUGCCUAACCUCAGGAAGGAGUAGGGCAUGUCAGCAGGUGGUGAUUAUUAUACAUGUUUAUGUAUCUUUUGGUAAAGUGUUCACAGUUACUGUAUCUUGGGCAAACCUACAUGUAAGCCUCACUGUCUAGUUUACAAUGCACAUUUACUAACCAGAUGCUUCUCUGCUGCAAAGCUGAUUGAUCGGUGUGGUCACAUCAUAAAUAUACAUCUUUUGCUUGGACCCUAUUGGGAAAGUUCCCCCCCCCCUGCAUUGUUUCUCUGACAGCAAUGAGCAUCUUGUUUAAAAAUAGUUUCUCAGAGGAGAAAACAUAUCUACAUACAUGUAUACAUUGCAAAUUUCCCCAAAGUGAGAGUGUACUCGUAGGACCUGUUUGUCCUGGAAGUAAGCAUACAUGUAAAUUGUACCGGUAGCAUAUGAAAAAAAGAAUGCAUUUACAGUGUACAGCUGUGAAGAGUAAUCAAAUUUUGAGCAUGGGACCAAAUUGGUUUAAGGCAUGUUUUAAAAGGGGGGCCUGAGAUUUCCAGGCAAAACUGAUUCUUUGAACUCUUCAUUUUCUGAGAAAGCUGUUUAAAAACGAGUGAAGCUGCAAAUGGUGGCAAAUGGGUGUCCUGCCUUCAUCUGGCUGUGUAUAAGGAUGGGAUAUAAAAGGUGGCGGAUGAAUAACGUUGGAAGGUUGUUAGGUUGAUAAAAGAUGGUGCUUGAAAAUUUGCUUCCUUUGCGCAAUUUGUCGGCUUUCUGAGGACUAGCUCCCUGCCCUAAAGAUUCUGACAAACUAAAUAUCACUCAGGUAGCCAGCCACCAGUGUCAGGUGACUCCCAGUUCUGGUAAUUGCCAGUUUUUCAAAUGAAUUUUCAACAUUCAGCAUUGAGUAACUAGGUUUGAAAUGUACUCAACAUUAUUCCUGCCUUGUGCUUUGCUGAUCUUGCAAUUUUUUGGGGGGGGGGUUGAGGAUGGUGGCUACCUGACAAAGAAGUCAUGGAACCAUUAGGUCAGGGAACCAGACCAGGCUGUCUGACUAUUUAAAAAAAAUGUGUUUGAGUUCCUUAAUGACAACUGACAUUAGUUUGUUGAUUGUACCAGAUAUGAGAUUUUUAAUAUUAAUGGUAUUUUUAUCAAGAGUGCAUGAAAUGUAGAGUAAGAUUCACAGAAUUUAUAACUUACACAGUCAACAAUGAUUUAACAGCGUUUGCUGGAGUUGGAGGACAAACAAAUCGGGCAGUUUAUCCACAUACAAUGCACAUCAGGCUCUGCAAACUAUGAGUAAUGAAAACAGUCAUCUGUUUACUCAUCAUUACCAGAACUUUGGAAAUUUAGGGAAAUGCUUCGAAAAAGUGAGUAGGAGAUAUCGAGUGCAACCACACUUGAAAUUUUGCUCUGGAGUUGCAAGAGCCAGUGCUGUGACUGCUGGUAACCAAUAAGAUCAGAAUACAUGUACAUGUACUUACCAGUCCCAACCAAUCACAAUAGUUCUACCUUGCCUGCACCUCUUAUCCGGGGGAGGGAUGUCUUUUAUUUGUCACCAGUUCUGAAGAACUUUUGAAACACCUGCACUAAAUUAUUACAAGCAGACAUGGGAAAUGGUAUCUAUAGAUGCAUUGUGUAGAUCACUGUCCUUGAUUCUCGACAAAUUUGGGAAAUCAGAUCUUGUUACCAUAAUUUCAUUCCUGCAUUCCAGGUUCUUUUCCAACUCUACAGCUCUGCAGUUUGACAAUGUGAAAUGUUUAAAUUUGAAGCUCUUUUGUAUUGUGAAUAGAAUUUGUAAGAGUGCUUAUUUUGAUAAAUACCAAGAUGUACAAUUCUUUCCUUUUCUGGCAUAAUUUAGUUUUUAUAACAUACCAUUGCAAUUAUGAAAAUGGAGGGAAAAGUCCUCUUAAUUUGUAAAGUAGUAUUUCUUUUUCACAAGACCGAAAUUCAUUGAGUGAUGAGUAAGAAAAGGGAAAUCUCACAAUAGGGAGAGUUUUUAUUAUCUCGUGACCGUAAAAAUAUACCUGUAUCAGAUUUUGGAAGAUGUACACACAAAAAGAAUGUACCAGUAGGGUUGACUUGAAACAUACAUGUAAGCAUUCAGAGAAGGGAAAAAAUGAAAACGUCAUUCGACAGUAGAUAAAAUCACUUCAAAAUGACUAUUCUGCCUGAUUUUCAAUGAGAAAUAACUGUUUUCAAGUUGGUGUUUUGUACAGUUGUAUGCAGAAAAGUGUUCUUGGAAACAAGUACCUUAUCUCCACUGUAAAAUGCACCAUUGUAAGGGCCCCAAUUGUUCAUGCCUUUUGAUCACACCGUAUUUAAGUGAUGACCAGAUCAAAACCAAUGAGGGAGUUACUAUUUUUGAAAUGCCUAUGUUAAGGUGAAAUUAACAAGGUGAAUAAAAAUCGCGUAAUGUAAAAUAUGCAAGUUCUGAUGUGCAUGUAUUUGUAAUUCUUGGAAUUUCCAAUACACCUCAUUCAUACUCUUA
rnacentral:misc_RNA from 1 species